GACGAACGCUGGCGGCGUGCUUAACACAUGCAAGUCGAACGGAAAGGCCCUGCUUUUGUUGGGUGCUCGAUUGGCGCACGGGUGAGUAACACGUGAGUAACCUGCCCUUGUCUUUCGGAUAACUUCUGGAAACUCGGGCUCAUACCGCAUAUGAUCUCCUGCUGCAUGGUGGGCGUUGGAAAGUUUCGGCGGUUGGGGAUGGACUCGCUGCUUAUCCGCUUGUUGGUGUGGUAGUGGCUUACCAAGGCUUUGACGGGUAGCCGGCCUGAGAGGGUGACCGGCGACAUGGGGACUGAGAUACGGCGCAGACGCCAACGGGAGGCAGCAGUGGGGAGUAUGGCACAAUGGGCGGAAGCCUGAUGCAGCAACGCCGCGUGCGGGAUGACGGCCUUCGGGUUGUAAACCGAUUUCGCAUGUGACGAAGCGUGAGUGACGGUAAUGGGUAAAGAAGCACCGGCUAACUACGUG
rnacentral:rRNA from 1 species